UUAGAGUGGAGGGAUGUCUCUAAUUCAGAGGUAUUUAUUGCAAGUUAUGUAGCUUUGUGGAGUAGUCGUGCGUACUCACAUCUCUUUUUACUGGGCAAGCUAAGUUUGAGCCUAUAGCUUUUUGCAAGCUACAGCGAAGCACGAACAGGGAUCUAUGACAAACCAUGUUUAGAAAGAGGCAGGCAAGAAAGGAGCCUAACUACAACAUGGUGGCUGGGACCUUCUUCAACCCCAGAAUGUAAUGAGUCGACAUUGACGUUACACCCAACAAUGAACAUCCUGUUUUAUGUCAUAUCAAAACAAAUUUGAUCAAGAAUAGAAGUUACAGCCUAUGUUGUUGGGCCCGUGCUCGCACAGGUCAUCACCGCCUACUUAUAAAAAGAAUCUCUACAAUAUGCGUGUAUAUAACUAAAGGAUAAAUACCUUUUACAGUGUAAAUCAUGGG